GCGAGAAUAGCCUGGGGUUUGUGUAGUGGGACAGUGCCGAGGUCAGGGAGCUGGACACAGGAGCCCUGAGUUCCAACGUGGCGAUGACACCGUGGGCUACUGGAGUCCCAUACAGUUUACAAAGCCAGCAUGAGGAAAUUGAGGAUUAGAGAAGAGUCUUGCCCAAGUUGAAGAGAGAACCAGGACUGGAACUCAGGACCUUUCAUGUAAAACCCCAAUUGCGUCCCUGACAAUUGGGGCUUGAAUCAGAUCAUCAUGUUCCUCUUCCUAGACUCCUACUCUAUGAUUCUAUUAGUGCAUCCCCCUCUCUCUUCAAGGUUCCCUAAUCCACUGUGUAUGCUUAAAUUGAACUGUCAAUGCAGGGCCAACAAUAAAUCCAGUUGGGAAGGGCUUGGGCCAUAAACCAUCAAAGAUUAAAAGAACCGAAGAGAUUGGCCCAAUCCAGUCAUUUUAAAAAUCAUUUUUAGUGUGAAAUAUAUUACACAUACAGAAAUGUAUAAAACACGUUCAUCUUAAACAAUAAAGCAAAUCACUGUGCAACUAA